AGUGAACGCUGGCGGCAGGCCUAAUACAUGCAAGUCGAACGAACGCACAGUAAGAGUUCUCCUCUAACGUUGGCGAGUGGCGGAUGGGUGAGACAUGCAUAACCUUCCUAUUAUACGUGGGUGAUUACGGGGAACAGGAUACGAUACUAGAGCAUAUGUUCUACCGCAGAAAUCAAGAGUUAAUGACACUUUUCCUGUCACUUUUAGAUGAUGCCGGGUCGCAUUAGCUAGUUGGUAAGGUAACGGCUUACCAAGGCAACGAUGCGUAGCCGACCUGAGAGGGUGAUCGGCCACACUGGAACUGAGACACGGUCCAGACUCCUACGGGAGGCAGCAGUAGGGAAUAUUCCGCAAUGGGCGAAAGCCUGACGGAGCAACGCCGCGUGAGUGAUGAAGGUCUUCGGAUUGUAAAACUCUGUUAUUAGGGAAGAACAAAUGUGUAAGAAACUAUGCACGUUUUGACGGUACCUAAUCAGAAAGCAACGGCUAACUACGUG
rnacentral:rRNA from 1 species